GUUUAGAUUUAAGACUAUAAGUGCAAUUAUUUAUUCAUUUGUCUUUUAUGUAGUUGUAGUGCAAUGACAUGCACUUUACAUUCAGAAGGUAAAUUAUUACAGCAGAAACUGAAAUGGUGUGUAAUUAUAAAUGCCUGUCUGCCAGUAGAGAUUGUUGGGAUUGUGUGCCAACUCAUAGGCAAUCAGUAAUGGUAUGUGAAAGGUAUUCGGUUUUAUUUGAUGUUGCAAUGGCAAACCAAAAAUGGUUUUUUAAUCAUUUUUUCUUCUCUCUAAGCUUGAAUGGGCUUUGGGGACAGGCGACCAAGAUGAGACAAUUGCUGAAGUUGGAAACGUGGUUCUGAAAAGAAAAGAUUUCUGGACUCUCGGUCUCAAUGAGCAGUUGGAGGCAACAAUUGCAAACAGCUGUCUUGAAGUAAUUACUUUGGUCUCUAUGGAACGAGUAAGUAUUUGUAUAAAGCUGCAAAUAACCUGAGACAUAGUUGUCUAGCUUGUUUAUAGUCUUACAUAAGUACGUUAUGGACAGCUAAUGCAUAUGUUGUGGUGACCUGGUUGCCUCCAAAUAAUCUGGACCCAUCCUUGUCAUUUCCAGAUAACAUUGCACUAAAAGACUGCAUUAUCUUCCCUUGCUUGGAAGCCAGGACACUGGAUGUUGUGUGUAUGUCAUUUGUGAUCUAGCUUUAAUGGUUACUUGCAUGAUGUUCUGUCUUUGCAUGGUGUGACAGUUUUUACAAGAAAGACCCAAAUACUGUUGACUGCUAUGGUUUCAGAGCAUCAAACUGUAUGUAAUUUUGCAUAUUAGCAAAUAUGUUUAUUAUGUGUAUUUUUGUUGCAGCAAGAUGACAGCCAAAAUUGCACCUGGAACAUGGAUGCUAAUAAAAAACAAGGAUAUCCCCCAACAGAUUGGUGGUGUGGACUGUGGAGUCUUCAUGUUGAUGUAUGCUCUACAUCUUGCCUUGGGAGCACCCUUUGAUUUUACAUCUUGUGACAUGCCAAAGAUUCGGAGAUGGUGGACUCUAAUUCUUUUAGAGAACUUUGGGGUUUUCUCUGAAAGUGCAGAUACCCUUCAAGAGGCUCUUCCACACAGAGAACCAGCUGAGCUUAGCAGCAGUGAGGAGCUACCAGUAAUCCGAGACAUGGCAGAAGCUGUGAAAUGGAUUGAUUCCAAUAACCAUCUGCUCAGAGGGCCGGUGGAAGAGCCUCUUUUCCUCACCAUGACUGAGGAGGAAAAGGAAAAGGCCCUCAAUGAUCUCAGUGAAAGCACAGACUCUUCGAGGGAGCCCUUUACGUUUCUUUUUCAGUUCAGGGAUGACAUGGAAUUAGUUAUACAAGAAUGUCAUGACAAAAUGGGCCUAAAACUGAACUGUUCAUUUGAUACAUUUUAAUUUAAAUUAAUGCCAUAUGGUCAUGACAAUGUGUGAAUUGUUUGUUUUGUAAAUUGUCAUUUUCAUUUUAUACAAAAUUGUCAUGGCAAAUUGUUUAGCAAGUUUAUUCCAUAAACUUUAAUUAUCUAGUUUUUGAUUUGUUUCUUUUAAAAUUUUGUGUGUUUGAAGAUUUUUACAGCAAUGUUUUAAUUUUUUUGUAGUGAAAUGCAUGAUACACAUGUUCUUUGCUUUGAAGUAUAUUUUUUUAUGUUGUGAUUAAAGUAUAUUUCAUAUAAAAUGCCUUAAGUUUCAAUUAAUUUUUAUUAUCUCGAACUCGAGGAAAUAGCUCACGUAAUGCAAUUAAAUGAAUAAUUAUAUACAAUUAUAUUAAACAAUU
rnacentral:lncRNA from 1 species